UACGUAGGCAGCGAGCGUUGUUCGGAGUUACUGGGCGUAAAGGGUGUGUAGGCGGUCCCGUAAGUCUGGUGUGAAAUCUCCCGGCUCAACUGGGAGGGUGCGCCGGAAACUGCGGGGCUAGAGUGCGGGAUGGGAGAGUAGAAUUCCUGGUGUAGCGGUGAAAUGCGUAGAUAUCAGGAGGAAUACCUGUGGUGUAGACGGCUCUCUGGACCGCGACUGACGCUGAGACACGAAAGCGUGGGUAGCAAACAGG
rnacentral:rRNA from 1 species